CCUGAACUGUGGAGGCAGGGAGGUUUCCAGGCAGUGUCUUCUGCCAGGCUCCAGCCGUCAUCGGGCGUUGUCUCUUUGCGACGCUGUCUGCCGGAGGCAGUGGGUCACCAGGCCCGGAAUCCAGCUCUGCUUUGGCCCCGGCCCCUCAUUUCUUAGAUGCUGAGGCUUCGUGCGAAGCGCCGGCUUGAUAAGAGCUGUGGAUUCUUAACAAGCCAAGUUGUACGCGAUUCCUGGGAAGCGCUGCGGCUCCAGGGACUCCUGGAGGAAGAAAAUAUUUACUGAGGAUCUACGAUGUACCAGUUACAGUGCUAGAUUGUCACUUAAUCUUUAAAACAACACUGUGAAGUAAGAAUUAUUAUCUACAGUUUACAGAAAUCUGUACAAAUGGCAGUGGGAGCCCUGAGGAAGUAAAGAUCAAGGAGAGUUUCUGCGAAGUUCAGGAAGCCAUCACAGGUCCGUCCUGCAAGAAGUCAAUUUUCUGUCCUCUGAAAUCCCGAGCAGGUUUCCUUUUCGACCCUACCUUUUACCUUAUGUUCAGGCCUUGCUGCCCAGUAAAUUCCCUCCUCGAAGGAUCUAACCUCCCAUUGU